ACCUGGCUGGCUCAGUGGAUGGAGCAUGUGACUCGUGAUCUGACAGUCAUGAGUUCAAGCCCCAUGUUAGGCA
rnacentral:tRNA from 1 species